AACGGUCUAUACCUGCGGUACCUGCGGAGGGAUCAUUAUAGAGUGGUAAACCUCCCGUAAAAAGGGGGGGACCUCCCGUCCUUUGCAGGCUCUUUUUUAAGGGGCUUUUUUGACUUUCUGCUUCGGUGGGGUUAUCCUACCGGAACAACUUCAAAACUCUGAAUCAAAAAAAUCGUUCUGUCCGAGGGCUUUUUUAUAAAAUAAAAAAAAACUUUCAGCAACGGAUCUCUAGAUCGGAAG
rnacentral:misc_RNA from 1 species